UCCAAAGGGUGACAUGUAUCCGCUGAGGAAUUUUGUUAUAGUGAUAGAAAAAUGACUGACGUACACCACGAGGAGAAGAGAACAUGAGCUCAGUCGCCUAACAGACUUCGGGGAGUCUGGUUUCAAGACUACAGCUGUGGGAUGCUUGCUUCAUGGCAAUUGAUGACUGAAGGACCGGAAGUUGGACAUUUAAGUAGCAAACAACUUAGCACAGACUAUCCCCAGCAAAGCUGGCUCCUGAGACCACGACAGUUUCUGUGAGCAAACCUAUAACAGUUAGCCUUAUUCUUGGAGGAUCUGGACUUCACAGUUGUCAGAAGGUGAUUUUAAAGAAAAAGAUGUUCUGACGACGAGUUUCUAAUAGCUCCAGCAGGCAUCCCAAACAGUUUAUUUAUUCUCAAGCAGAUUGCAGAUGGAUAAAUUCUGACUCUGUCA